CCCCAGCACCAGACAGCAGAACCUCCCGCGGCAAGAGGUCGCUCCCUGCUUCUAGUCAGGGUCCAUUGAAGGUACCAAAGAUAUUAAAAAAGAGAGAGAAAUAAGAAAGAAAAAGAAAAUCUUCAAGAGGAAAUAUAGUAGUAUUGACAAAUGAGAAAUGAAUACUCAAAUAUGUGAAAUACAGAGGAUCAAACUGAAGCAAAACAUCUUGGAAUAGAGCCUCUUCAGAAAUCACUGUUCCAGUGCCAGCUAGCACCCAAACACAACUCCUCUGCACCAACAAAGGUAUGCAGUUAAAUUUGUGUUGUAAAAAAUUAUUGUCUUAUGUACAUAUGAAAGUAUGUGUCAUAGAUUUUCAUUUGACCUCAAGAG
rnacentral:lncRNA from 1 species